rnacentral:misc_RNA from 1 species
GAGGGUCACAAGGCCUCCUAUUGCUCUUAACCAACCCGCGUACCUGCCGGAUAUCAUGUCUCUGCCUCGGCGGCGGCCCCAGGGGGGGCCAGCAGCCCGCCUACACGGCGGGCGCCGCCGGCGGCGCACAAACCAUACAACAUUGCAAAACAAAUACAUUACAAACUGUUA